ACAUGUGUGUGCACACAUAUGUACAUUUCACUGCUAAAACAUUGGAUGAAGCCGUAGCUAUGCCCAUCCUGUAGCUUGGUGUAUUAAAUUAAGACAGUGGCAAAAGCUGCCAGCCAACCACACUAUUUGAAAAGCAGUCACCACUGCUUUUCACCACUGGAGCCGAUCACUUACCUGGUUGUGGGCAGGGCUAAGACUCUUCUCCAGAUCCCGAAACAGAUUAACAGAUUUACACAGCACACUGACCAGGAGCUGGACCCGGACUCUCAGGCCUUGAGAACUGACACCAGGUAGAGUCACAGAUAAGAUGCAGCCACCCUCUUCUCUCUCUCCCCCUCUCCUUUCUCUCUCGCUCUUUCCAUUCCCCUUUUCCCCUCCAAACAAAACACUACCUGAACUUACAACAGAAGAACCUGGGGAUCGAGGGCACCCUAGCAGUCCUAAAUGCGAUGUAGUCAAGUAUUUAGUGUGAAUUCUCUGCAUGGAUUCUCAGUGUUAGUAAUAAAUGGUAACAUUCUUUUACAACUUCUGCUAUGGGCAAAAUAAAGCACAAAGGAUUUUGAGUGACAUUCUGCAAAUCACCACACAGACCUUAAUCCUGAUGACUGGCAUCUUCUCUAAGGACCUGCAUUAAGGAGCAUAGGAACAGCUUCCCACAAUCUGUCCCCCAUGGGUGCUUUUCCCAACCUCCCCUCCCACCCCCAGAAGAAACCCCUAGGUCCCUCUGGAAAAAGACCCCAGUUACUUAUUUAUUCGGGGUUUGUAAGUCCCUGGAAGUAAACCUCAUAGGUUUCUCAUCUACUAUCCAGAGGUAACAAAAUAAAUCUGUGUAAAUUCAUGCUGCCACAUUUCUGGAGGCUUCGCAUUCAAACCACCUCAGCAGCCUCAUUGUGUUUUUAUUACUUUGCAAUUUUUGCUCACAAAACAUGGUUAAGCAAACCAAAACAAAGGAAAAAAUUAAAGUCCUCACAGCCAAAAUCAGCUAUGCCAAAUUUCAGGCUCCAAACAGGACAAUUUAUAAAUAAACAUGCUGCACUUGCCAGAUAAAGAGGAAUGUGUUAAGAGAAGGCAAUGCAGAUUGGUGGAGAAGGUGCCGAACUACGCAGCAAGUCAGAAGGCAGGAGCUGAAGCCCCAGUCAUGUCCCUAAGGAGCUGUGUGAUAUGGGUCAAGUCACCCGACUUCUCUGGGCCUCUGCAAAGUAAGCAGGUAGGGUGAUAAAUUGAUCUAAGGUGGGAAUAGUCCCCUCUCCUGAGCAAACAAGCCUCACCUGCUUUUUAUCCCCAGUUCACACGGUAGCUCAGACCAGAGCAUCCCUUGCUUUUCCCUGGACAAGGUGACCAACUUGUUCUCAUUUGCCCGGGACUUUCCUGGUUCUCACACUGAGAGUCCUAGGUCCCAGGAAACCCCUCCAUCGGUGUGCCCCAGGGGCACACCGGGACAAUUGGCUAGUCUAUCCUUGGAGCCUACCCAGACCCCAUUGGCUGAAGAAAGAGGUUAAUAAUCUCAAGCACUUGUAGACCACUUUAGAGUCUUGGACCUAGCUAUUCACAAAACGUGGUCAGUACAGGCAGCCUCAGCAUCCCCUGGGGAUUAGCUGGAAAUGCAGAACUCAGGCCCACCCACCCCAGAUCUACUGAGUUAGAAUCUGCAUUUGAGCAGCAACCCCUCUCCCUGUCACUCAUGUGAAACUCAAGAAAGUGUGAGAAGGGCUUCUCGGAAACAAUUCUGAUGAACACAACUGGUUGAGGAAGCAUUAUUCCCCAUUUCCCAGAUGAGGAAAACAAGGCUCAGAUAGAUGGUUUAUUUAUUCAUUUGAUCCAUUAAGUACCUACUGUGUGCCAGGCACCAUUAAGUGACUUGCCCAAGGUCACACAGCUAUUAAGUAGUCCAGACAAUCCCCAAACUCAGAUCUUCAGAUUCCCAGCCAAGGUCUUCCUUGUGUACCUGGGGGCAAACUGCAUGGCCACAGUUUAAUAUGCAAACUGAUUGUAGAUUAAACAGAGGCCUCCCGGGCAGUAGAGAGCUUCAGAUAGUUUCAGAUAGCAUUCUUGGCUCAUGAAACUGUGAGCUUAUCAGCUAUUUACUUACACAGUCCACAGGUCACUGAGGCUUGAAAAUGUCCUUAUUGUUAACUGCCCCCUUCUCAUCCCAGCUCCCCCUCUCCAGUGACCCUCCCACAAGAAGAUUUGGAAGCCCUGUCCACAAGGCUUUUCAAAGCACCAAGGCCAUGCGUCUGUGCUAUUUAUCUUCUUGAAUGGAGGACAAGUGAUUAUUUCAUUUACUUUAAUGGGGCUAUAAUGGGAAGGGCCAGUCCUGACCUGAACUACUAAAACCAAAGAGAAAGUCUUCGGGGACAGUUUUCCUGAUGUUCAUAAAACAUUUUCACAUUUGGUCCCUAGCGAUAAGCUAAAUAAUGCCCACUGUUUUCCACGACGCUGAGAGCACUGACAAAGGAACAACUGAAUAUAGGCCAAUAAAAUGUCAUCAGACCUUCCCAGUCUGGAGUUAGGAAAGUUUUCCCUUACAAUUUCAGUCUUUCCUCCAGUUUUUAUUCCAAAACUGAAUGUCACCACCAUGGGGUCAGAUGGAGCAUCCAAAUGAUAUAAUGUAAGACUCACAGCGUCCCAAAGAGAAAAGUCUGAAAAUCUUUAAAAAAGAACAGAUCCUGCCUAUUGUGCACUGACCCUCCUGAAGGUUCCCUGGGUUCAGAUCCCACUGGGAAUUCAGACAUGCUGCUCUCGUCACAGGGAGAAAGCAAGCUUGGCACCUCUGCCUUCAUGUUGUUCCCACCUCCUUCACUGCUCUAACCUUUGAGCCAGUAACUCCUGCUCAGCCCUGUACGUAGACAUGUUUUAACCUGUCUACUUUUGCAAACAGCCCUCUCUUACCCAAAACUUGCCCAGGGAAGGAAGGAAGUAUGUCCAAAAAUAACAAAUGCCUGUCACAGAUGUAUGGAAAUAGCAUCACCAGAACCAUGGCAGUAAAAUGACUGAAGUCACCUGACCAAGAAAAAAAGUUCCCAACCUCCUCGGACCCUUGCUGGCUCUCCAGGUGUCUGGAGUUGACCCUGACCUCCGGACCUCAAGCCCCUCCUGCUUCCCUUUUCCCUAACAUAAAAGAAGCUUGAAAUCAAUUCUGAGUUAAGAUGAUCCUUUAGGACAUGAGUCCUCUAUCUUCUCAGUCUGCUGGCUUCCCAAAUAAAGUCAUUUUCCUCACCCUGACACCUUGUCUCUCGACUAACUGGCCUGUUGUGCAGUGAGUAGCAUGAGCUUGGAUUCAGUAACACUCUUAACCAGCUCAGAUGUGGGUUGAGUGCCUAGUGGUGAUCUCUUUGCCUUGACUCCUCUCCCCCAGGGAACAGUGAUUCCAAGACCCCCAACUCCAGGCCAGCAGGGCAGCCAGCCUCAAGGCCUGCCCCUCCCCUCUCCAGAGCUGCUGAAACCUCUCUGACUUCCAUGGGGCUUUUCUCCUCCAAGCCCUCUAUGGACCGAGAAAAACCCUGCCAGCUGCAGUUGCUCUUCCUUCUUGCCUCCAGAGACAAGCACUCAGUUCUCUUCACUGAGAAGGAGGAACCAAAACUAACAAAAUUGGCCAUGAACAAAGCUUACUUACAAAAGGCUCUGAUCUAUUUACUUUUGUCCUUUGAGAUGGUAAGAGAGUGGGGUGGCUCACAUUUACUAAGGGCUGACUGGUUCCAGGCCCUCCUUUAGGAGAUUUAUUUGUAUCAUCACCUAUGGGGGCAGGUAUAUUGUUAUCUCUACCUUACAGAGGAGGCUGCUGAGACUCCGAGCUCAAGGGAAUUACUCAAGGUCGCCAGUUAGUCAUGCAGGGAAGGUAAUGAACUCCUAAAAGAGGGAAGACAGAGGCCCAGGAAGGCCAAGAAUGACUUGUCCACAUCCACCCAGAAAGCAGGAGAGCCCAGGCUGCUGGUUCUUGGAGCUAGCAUGCAUGGUGCAUAAGCACAUGGAUUCUGAUGCCACCAGGCCUGCACUGAAUGCUGGUGAUGCCACACACCACCUCUGUGAUCUUACACAAGGUCCUCAAUAUCCCUGCCCACUUUCAGCAUUGGUUAACUGGAGGUGAAGAAAAUAGUAACACCUGCCUCAUUAGGCUCUGUGAGGAUUAGACAUUCCAGUGUUUGGAGCCAAGCAUAGCACUCAGUAAGUAA